rnacentral:rRNA from 1 species
AUACGUAGGGGGCGAGCGUUGUCCGGAAUGAUUGGGCGUAAAGGGCGCGUAGGCGGCCCGGUAAGUCUGGAGUGAAAGUCCUGCUUUUAAGGUGGGAAUUGCUUUGGAUACUGUCGGGCUUGAGUGCAGGAGAGGUAAGUGGAAUUCCCAGUGUAGCGGUGAAAUGCGUAGAGAUUGGGAGGAACACCAGUGGCGAAGGCGACUUACUGGACUGUAACGGACGCUGAGGUGCGAAAGCGUGGGGAGCGAACAGGAUUAGAUACCCUGGUAGUCCACGCCGUAAACGAUGAAUGCUAGGUGUUGGGGAAACUCAGUGCCGCAGUUAACACAAUAAGCAUUCCGCCUGGGGAGUACGACCGCAAGGUUGAAACUCAAAUGAAUUGGCGGGG